GGCCCGUUAGCUCAGUUGGUUAGAGCGUCGUGCUAAUAACGCGAAGGUCGCGGGUUCGAUCCCCUCACCCCUCACGGGCCA